UCCUCACAGCCCAUUUUGUUUUAUUUUUCCCAGCAUUGCACAUUUAGGUCAUUUCUCAUGGAAAUGACCUUUCCAAUAGCUUAGCUCUCACGUCCUUUCUUGAACCCAGGCUUCCCUCUUUGAUGCACAUAACUGAGAUGAAAAUUACCAACUUGACAUCAACCCCAAAGUGACUGUCAUUGCUUUAGGAAGUUAAAGUUCCAGGGUCCUGCAAAGAGAAGCUGGAAAAUAUCCCCAAAAGAUGAAGUUGGCCUUCUGUCAGAUGGCAAUGCCAGGGUGCUGUCCAGGUGCUGCAUCUGUCAGGAGAGGCAGCUGAACUUCUGAAUACCUGAGGCUGUGGACCACUGGCACAGACCUUAGAUGAAAGUUUUAAGUUCUAAGAGCUGACAGAAAACUGAGCUAACAGAGACAAGGCCACCAUGGAUUUAUCAGCAGGUAAAGCCUGCUUGGUCCGGAGUGAUUAGGAACAAAGUUAGCAGCAUACCUUCACUUUUUCUUAUGCAAUAUUGUCCUGAAUGUUGGAUAAAGUUCUUCUAGCAAGUCACUUCUUUGGUGAAAGUUACAACUUCAAACUCUAACUUAUUUGGAUCAAAUUUAGUGAAUAUCAUCAGAUGUGCAUACAUGUAUAUGGAGACAUAUUAGAAAAGACACAGCUGUUCACAGCAGAACUUUUCAUAGCAGCUGCACUGACUUCUGAGCCAGAGCAUCCUAAGGACAUGGCUGUCAUUCACAAGGCUGUGAGGGCAGAAAUAAUGUUGAGUGUGUUCCCCUCCCUGACAAGAGACUGUAACUCCAGCUCUGUAAGAAGGGACUGAACCUACUUACCAGCUGAGUGCUUUGCCCAAAGCUUCAACUACUCUAUUUCUCCAUGUUAAGCUGUUCCAUCUCACUGUUAGUUGGAACCAUGACCCCCAACGCCCCCACCACACCCUACACCAGAUUGUUCAGCUGACCUUGCUC